rnacentral:lncRNA from 1 species
ACAAAUGGCAUGGCAACAUGGAAUUCCACUAAGUUCCCAAGCUCUACAAGAACAAGUUUCUAAAUUCAAAUCAACAACAUAUUUGUCACCACCUUCUGUAAUCUCAUAUCCUUCAUUUCCAUUCCAUAUCAAAUGGCAAUACCUACUAGCAGAUGUAUUCUCAUGUAACUUACGCAUAAUCCUUGGACCGUAAUUUCUAGUCCACCUAGCACAUCCAUCCCUCUGAGUAUGCAUUCUAUUCAUAACCAUGAUUCUAA